ACUCUUCAACCCUCCAUUUCCUCGUUUGAAAUGUUUGAGGUGAUUGGAUUUUGAGUACUUGCUUUUUUAUCAAAAUUAGCUUACUCGUAAUACAUUAGCAUAAUUCAACUUCGAACUCGGAUUGACUCGGCGUAAUAGACUAUUCGCUGAGGACAUUGAGAAUUAAUUUUCUCUAAUGGCCGACUUUAGACAAUUUGAAUAGCUUCAAAUACUAUAAACCUUUUUUAAG
rnacentral:misc_RNA from 1 species